GGCGAGUGAAGCGGCAAAAGCUCAAAUUUGAAAUCUGGUACCUUCGGUGCCCGAGUUGUAAUUUGGAGAGGGCAACUUUGGGGCCGUUCCUUGUCUAUGUUCCUUGGAACAGGACGUCAUAGAGGGUGAGAAUCCCGUGUGGCGAGGAGUGCGGUUCUUUGUAAAGUGCCUUCGAAGAGUCGAGUUGUUUGGGAAUGCAGCUCUAAGUGGGUGGUAAAUUCCAUCUAAAGCUAAAUAUUGGCGAGAGACCGAUAGCGAACAAGUACAGUGAUGGAAAGAUGAAAAGAACUUUGAAAAGAGAGUGAAAAAGUACGUGAAAUUGUUGAAAGGGAAGGGCAUUUGAUCAGACAUGGUGUUUUGUGCCCUCUGCUCCUUGUGGGUAGGGGAAUCUCGCAUUUCACUGGGCCAGCAUCAGUUUUGGUGGCAGGAUAAAUCCAUAGGAAUGUAGCUUGCCUCGGUAAGUAUUAUAGCCUGUGGGAAUACUGCCAGCUGGGACUGAGGACUGCGACGUAAGUCAAGGAUGCUGGCAUAAUGGUUAUAUGCCGCCCGUCUUGAAAACG
rnacentral:rRNA from 1 species